GGAUAAUUUGUUUGUAUAAACGAACUAUAUAGGCACAUGUAUCCCACCCCCACCCCUACCCCCCGAGAUAAUUAAAAUUAAUAAAAAAAGGCCGUAACGCUCGCCCUUGAAGUGUGAGUUCGAGUUGUUCGGAGUUUGUUUAUUUUUGGGAAGAUUGACGUGAGAAACCGUAAAGUCACGUCUCUUGAACUUUGAAAUAUUUCGGGCACCGUUUCGUAACGUAUUUAAACUAUUGGGAGCUGUUGAAUAUUUUAAUUAACCAAAAUAUGACUACUUUGGUUAAAAUAAAUCAAGGGAGGGGCUGAAAUGGUUUAAAUGGAAAUUAAGUUUGGGAAUUGGAUUCAUUUUGUUAAGAAAUCUCCAUGGGAGGGGCUAUUUUGAAUAAAUGGGUUCAAUGUUUGGGGUUGGGACUGAUUUUGAAUAAAUGAUUUAAUGAGGUUAGUUUGGUCAUUUCACAAAGCUAAAUGAAAUUAGGGCUUUGAUGCCCCAGUUUCCUUGUUUGGACGAUUAGAGGGAUAAUUGAAUGAAACUGAUGAACGAAGGCGAUUGGAGGGAUGACGAUGUCAGUCGCCCAUUCGUUGAUCGGGCAAAGGAAAAGAACUGAUCGAAGGCAAGACAAAACGAACGCCUCCGGUGGUCCAUCUGGCGAGCAAAGAAGAAGAAAUACGGGAACGAAAUCAGAAGAAGGAAACACGCAGGCGAUGACUCUGCAUCUGGGUCCUUGCUCGUCGGAGGUGACGAAGAAGCCCGAAGGAAGAAGAAGCUCGCAGGCGGCUAAUGCGAAAUUUUUUUUCGAUUGAUCGCGAAGGGAACGUCUCCGGGGGUUGGCGGGGCCGAAGAGACGGAGGGAAGAGCAGGGAGGCUGCGCUAUUUCUGUCAGAUAGCGAGAGGCUAAAGGGAAAGCGGUUCAGUGGUUUUUGGAUCGAGGGUGUGGUGUGGCUAAGAGGUUGUGAAGGGAGGGAAAAGGAGAACAGAUGCAGCGGUGCUUCUGGUGGUCUCGGUGGGUGCAGCGUGGGCUGCUCAAACGGUUUGCCUUCGUUUUCUUUUCUUCUUCGUUUUUUUUUUUUUUUUUUUUUUUUUUACANGGGUUGUUUUGUUAAAUAAAAAAAAAAAAAAAAAAAAAAAACGAGGGAGGCUGCCACGAGGAAGAAGAAGGAAGAGAAGAACGAAGGAAGAAUGAACUGGAAGCUGUGGUUCUUUUUGUUUGCAGGUAAACACGAGAAUAAGAACAAGAAUGUUCUUGACUGGAAACAAAGAUGCAGGCAGAAAAUAAAGGUUUCCAGUUGAAGAUUUAAAUUGUUAUUGGUUGUUUGUGAAUCAAGCAUUUGUGAUCGGUUGUUUUUUUUUUUUAUCGUUGUAGAGUUGUUUUUGAGUGUGGUAUUGGUUGAAGGAAGAGUGCAAGCAAGCUUCAGAGAUGCUUUCUUUCCUUUGUGUGUAAUUUUAGAUGUGCAAGAAUUAAUAGCUGUCAUUUGGGUACAAUAUGUGUAUUUUGUGUGAAAUUUGCAAAUAAUGAAUUUCUUUAUGUAUUAUGUGUAUGUAUUGAUAUAUUAAUUUAAUUGGUCAUUUAAUUGUGUGUAUUUUUGAAAAUUAGAUGGUAGAGAAAGGGAUAAAAAUUAUGUAAAAAGAAUA
rnacentral:lncRNA from 1 species